CUUCUUAAAGAUCAUUUUCUUAUCUGCAAUUUGUUCCAUUAUAAUGGUCCUCAAUGUUGUUAGUUCUGAUGCAUUUGUCUGCAAAUGUUGAACUCCUCCAUUUUUCUCUGUGCAGCCUCAAUGGAUGGCCCCUGAAGUCCUCCGGAAUGAACCUUCAAAUGAAAAGUAAUUCAUGAAACCGAACCCUGUUAUUCUACAAAUGGACAAGUGCUGCUUUUCUUCUUUCAUGCUAAACAGAUUCAAUAGAAUUGCUUGCUUGCCAAGAGUGGAGGUGACACGGUCCCUCUUUCAUCAUCUAGCAUUCUUAACUCUUGAUGUCCUGGACAACUGUCACCUUGUUUCUAGCUCAGAGAUCAACGAUGUUCAAGCAGAAAUCAUUAAACCUGAUUAUCAGCCGAGUUUCUGCACAGGUCUGAUGUGUUUGGUUUCGGUGUCAUCCUAUGGGAACCAAUGACUGUCCCCAUUCCAUGGAUCAAGUUAGAUUCCUUAGAGGUAUAUUACUCUUAAUACGCAUCUCUUCCAUAUUACCUUAACGACAGAAUGCAUGAACAUGCUUGUUAAUCAUCUUCUUGAAUUUCUUAUAAAAUUUGACUGAAAUGUGUUUCUUCCAUUUAAGAGGUAGCUGGAGUUGUAGGCUUCAUGGAUAGAAGAUUGGUUUUACCAGAAAGCCUUGAUCCCAUGGUAGCAACUAUUAUCAGCGAUUGUUGGCGAAGUUAUACAAGCAGCGAUCCUGAAGAACGUCCAUUUCGAGGAGAUAAUUCAACGAAUGACUAGCAUGGUCCAAGAGAUUCCUGUAGCAACGGUUCAGAGGACUCCAUAGCUUUGAAAUUUGAGUUAGAUAAAUCUGCACAAGAACUCAGCCAGAUGAAAUACACGUCUUCUUGUUGCUUAACAAGAUAGUUGAAGAUUGAUUAGUGUAGGAAACUGACAAAUGUAAUUGUAAUCAUCUGUUUUUCUUUCUUUUUGUUCUGGGGGGGUUGUUAAUAUUCUCAUGAAAUCAGCUAUAGUGUCUCAACUCGUUAAGAGAAUGUUAGUUGAAGCCAUGCCAACAUGAUCCGGUGCGUGCUACUACAUCCAUAAUUGAAGACAAUUUACAAAAUGUCUGGUGUUCGUGCAAAUUAUGUUCUAUAUGCACCAUAGCCAAUCUAUCACCAUGUGCAGGAAUUUCUAAUCUCAACUCAUGACUUCUGAUUUCAUCUUUGUUUUGCUUCAUCGUUCAUGACAAUCAAAAUCCCAUGGAGAGAAGUC